GAAGAAGGAACUGUUAAGAUUCCGAUCAAUGGAUUCUAAUUCAUAUCUUCAAAUUUGAUUGAUAUACGCCUCUCAUGUAUUUUUUUUAAUUAUUAAUAUUUGUUAAUCUUUAAGUGUAUAUUAGAGACUAUUGAUCCUUAUAUUUUAACAUGUUUAUGUUAUUUUUCUGUAAUAUUACAGAUGAUGUCGGAAGUUUAUGUGGUGUGGGUGAUAUUGAGAUCGUUGGAGCUGGUUGGAAAAAAAGAGAUAUAAAAGUUCUAAUAGAUUAGUAAGUUGAAUAUAAUUUAGAACUUAUCAACAAGACAACAACUACAAAAGGUAUAAGGUCUGUACACUUACACUAUACACAUUAAUAUAUAUUUUUAAAGUUAACAAAAAAAUAAUUAAAUUUCAUAAAUAACAUUAGUUUUAUAAGGUUGUCUUAUCUUAAAAAAAAAAACCAAUUUAUAUUUUUUUAUCAAUUUCAUCAAGUGUAAAAUAAGAAAAAAGGAUAAUACUAAAUUUUUUUUUUCAAAGCCGCGCGAAGCACGGUUCUAUUUCCUAGUUUAGAAGUAAAGUUAGUGAAGUUUUGGGUGAUUUAAAAAAAAUAUAUAAAUAAAUUGUAUAAUGAACCACGACUCUACAAGCUAACGAAGGAUAUACCCCUAUUAUUAUUACACUCGAUGCAAUUUUUUUCAAUUCUAAUACGAAUGAUAAGAUAUAUUUAUGAAACCAAUAUUACUUAACAGUAUGGAAUUAAUACAACCAAAAUGUCUACGGUGAAAUGGGGCCAAAAAUAUAAAAUUUAAUAAAAAAAUAUUAUAUUAUAUUAUUAAAUAUUUUAGGACAUAAAAAGGUGAAUGUUUAAAACUUUCUCUUUUUUUUUUUGGUUGAAAAUUUUCUCAAUCUACAAAUAUCUUACAAUAUGAUAUUUUAUUGGGACACUGAAUAUAUUCAUUAUCCAAAUGUUGACGGAAAUAAACUCCUAAUAAGAAUGGAACUCAUGCACUUAAACGUUGAUUGUCGAGGGCGUGAACUAAAGGCCAAUGACAAGAAUGUUUGAAACUUGAAAUAGGAUUUGAGUGCCUUUAACAAUUGAAACCUUUCAAUCGGGGGUAAAGGGAGAAAAAAAGACAAUUGAAAUGGCAGGCAAUAAAAAUACAAUGACGAAAAUGAUAAUUCUUUAGUGUUUCUACAACAGAAUUUAGAAAGUUUUAGGUGGGAUGUUUUUGUAAUACAAUAAGAAUAUUGGUGUAGUUUUCUGAUAUUUCAACCUAAGAAAUUUCAUCUGCACGUGGCUAUUGCCAAGCCACGUGAUAAGUGGCUCUCCGUUUCUGGCUUACUGCCUAUAUAUAUAAUAAUGUUCCCAUCCUCCAUGCAAGGGAAGUAAGGGUUACAAUUGAAAUUGCUUCCUUACGCUCUUUUCUUUUCAAUCAUUAGUAGUACCAUAAGCUCCUAGAAAAAAAAAAAAAAAAAUGUCUGAGGGCGGGGAUUUUAAUCGCCGGACAGCAAAUUACCACCCUAACAUUUGGGGGGAUCGUUUCAUCAACUACAAUGCAGAAGAUGAGGUACGUACAAUGAGUAAUUGGGAUUUUUAUUUUUUUUGUUUUUCAACAAUUUAAAAAAGAAAAAAAGAAAAAUCAAUCAACAUCGUAUGUUAAUGUCUGCAUUGUAAUUAAAAAAUAUAUACUUCAAUGCACUAAAAUAUGAACAUUGUAUUAAAAUUUAUAUUCCUAGCCUUAUGCAGACGUCCCUAAAGGGCAAUUAUUUAUAUAUAUUAUAAGCAUGUGACUAUAUGUAGUGAAUGCGGAAAUGCAGAUUUAUCAUGGGGCUCAAUCGCAAGAAAUUGAAGAACUCAAGGAAGAAGUGAGAAGGGAACUACUGGGCAGUGGUGUUGAUUCUUUAUCACGGCUGAAACUUAUUGAUGCAAUCCUGCGUCUAGGCGUGGGAUAUCAGUUUGAAAGAGAGUUAGAAGAAGCAUUACAGAAUCUCUAUGAUGCAUUUUCCAAUCAUUUUUAUAAUAUUGAAGAUAAUGAUCUUUACCACGUUGCACUUCGUUUUCGAAUUUUAAGACAACGUGGAUACAAAGUUUCAUGUGGUAAGCUUGUUCAAAUCAUGCAGCUUCUUAGACUUUUAAGAUUAUGUUUGAUAUAAUUUUUCAAAUAAAAUUUAUUUAAAUAGAAUUUUUACAAGUAAAGUUUUUGUUUAAAAAUUUUUAAUUGUUUAGUUAGCAAUGAAAAUUAUAAAAUAAUUUUUACAAGUAAAGUUUAUACUUAAAAAAUUUUAAUUAUUUAGUUGGCAAUGAAAAUUUUUAUUAAAAAUUAUAAAAUUAUUUUACCAAACAAUUUUUUAAAAGUUGUGUUAUGAAAAAAAUAAAAUAAGAUUGUCAAAUAAAUAAAAAUAUUUUAACAUUUAAAACAAACUUUUCAACAUCUACUUCCAAAAUAAUUUGACCUUUUCUUAAUGGAGACAAAAUAAUUUAUUUAACCUUUAAAAGUUCUGCUAAAAAAAACCAAACAAUAAUAAUAAUUUUUUUAUAAGAACUAAUAAAAUUAAAUAAGCACUUAUAAUCAUUAGAGAAACUAUACCAAAUAAGUUAUACACACACAACAUGUUACGCACGGCAGAUGCAUGUGCACACAUGAUGAAUUUGUAUAAUUUGUAGAACACGCGAAGUUGUGGUAUCAUAUCAGGUAAUAAUCAACUAAUAAUCAUUUCCAUUUAUUUUAUAUAUGAAUCAGAUAUAUUCAACAAGUUUAAAGAUGGCAAAGGCAAUUUCAAGGAGUCCUUGAAAAUCGAUGUGUCAGGGAUGUUGAGCUUGUACGAAGCAGCCCAUCUGGGCGUGCACGGAGAAGAUAUUCUGGACGAGGCUAUUGCUUUCACGACUGCUCACCUUCAAUCGUCCAUGGCUCCACAAGUGAUUCAUGCUCUACGGCAGCCCCUGUACAAAGGCCUGCCGAGGAUUGAGGCCAGGUUUUUUAUCUCUCUCUACCAAGAGCAUGAACCUUUGCAUAACAAAGCUUUACUGAAGCUUGCGAAGUUGGAUUUCAACCAAGUCCAGUCAUUGUACAAGAUUGAACUUAGCGAAAUCUCAAGGUCACCUCCCGAUCAUAGCCUUCAUGUUAUUAAUUAAUAAGAAUCUAUAUACACACACGCAUGCCUACACACACAUUGAGAAUACACAAGACAAGACGUAUAUGAUUAAUAUAUAUGCUAAUUAUUUAAAUAUAUAACUGCAUGCAUGCAGGUGGUGGAAGGAUUUAGACUUCGCUAGAAAGCUACCUUUCGCAAGAGACAGAGUGGUCGAGUGCUACUUUUGGAUAGUGGGGGUUUAUUUUGAGCCUCAAUAUUCACUUGCUAGAAAAUUGCUAACCAAAGUAAUCUCCAUGACAUCCAUCAUAGAUGAUAUCUAUGAUGUCUAUGGCAUACCUGAAGAGCUCGAUCUCUUUACAGCAGCAAUUGAUAGGUUUAAUUUGUUACUAUCUGGUGUUAAUCCUAUAUCAGCUGACAAUUAAUAGUCUACUUCUUGGACAAAGUAUAAGAGGAAAUUUAGAAUAUAUCAGAUGUAACACAACCAAUCAAUGCAUGUAUGACAUGUGUAAUUGAACAUAAUAUAAUCACCACUUACAUGAUGAUUUUUCAAAAUAAAUAUUCACAUGUCACAUCAUCAUUUUUUUUAUUGUAUGGCUAACGUGAUACAUCAGAUAUAUUAUAGAAUUUCUUAAAGUAUAGAAUAAUUAAUUUUAUAAAAAAGUACUCUUUUAAUCCUUAUAAUAUGAGAUAAUUGUUUAGUUAGUCCAUAUAUUUUAACAAUUUAUCCGAGAUAUCAUUGUAGUACAUCUAUUUCAAUUAAAGUUUAUUACUCUACUUAAGUAAUAAUAAUAAUUAUAAUUAUUAGAUGCAUGUCAUACUUGUUUGAAGUUUAAGUAAUAUCCAACAACUAUGGAAGAAUGACAAAGAUAUUUUAUGUAUAAUUCAUGAGUAUAAGCUGGUCUUAAUGGACUUUUUUGUAUAUUAAGGCUCAAAUUACCGAAAACAUUAAUAGAUUACAUUUAAUUGAGUUUAACAUUAUAUGACAAUUUGCAACACAUAAUUGUUUACAUAUAAACCCAACGCUGGAUUAAAGAUCCAACAUUUUUUGGUAAAUCAAAUACAUCAGUUAUGUCAUCAGUAGUAUGUGUCAAAUCAAGAAUGAGUUCCUGAUUUAGGAAAAUAACCGGGUGGCUUUUGAGUUUCAGGUGGGAUGUGAGUUGCAUCGACCAGUUGCCAGAAUACAUGCAAACAUUUUAUGUGGCAUUGUUAGAUCUUUACAAAGAAAUUGAGGAAGAGUUGGCAACGAAAGGAUGGUCAUACCGAGUCCACUAUGCAAAAGAAGAAGUAAAUCAAUAUUACUUAUAAAAGUUAAUCAAGGAUAUAAGAUUUUCCGUCAGAAUUUUGAUCACGACAGUAUUAAUUGAUCAUUUGUGACAUUGAAUCCAUGGCAGAUGAAAAUUCUAGUUCAUGGCUACCAUGAUGAAUCUAAAUGGUUCCACAACAAUUACGUUCCUACAAUGGAGGAGUACAUGCGAGUGUCCCUAGUAACCUCUGGUUACUCGAUGCUUACAGCAGCAUCUUUUCUUGGUAUGGACGGUGUAGUGACAAAGGAGGCCUUUGAUUGGGUGUCUGGUAAACCUAAGAUUAUUAGAGCCUCAACUAUAAUUGGAAGACUCAUGGAUGACAUCAAAUCACAUAAGGUACGUAUACGUUACGUACAUACAUGUGCUUAUAAAUUAUAUAUCACUUUAGAAUUUGGAUACACGUUAAUCAACACACGUGAUGUGGUUACUUGCAUGUACAGUUCGAGCAAGAAAGAGGACACGCGGCGUCGGCUAUCGAGUGCUACAUGAAGGAGAAGGAGCGCGAAGGCGUGAGUGUGACAGAGCAAGAGGUGCAUGAAGAGUUAUAUAAGAAAGUUGGCGAUGCAUGGAAGGAUAUAAAUGAAGAGUGUCUCAUGCCCACCGAGGUGCCAAGGCCUCUCCUCAUGCGAGUUCUAAACCUAUCAAGAGUAAUUGAUGUCAUCUACAAGGAGGGUGAUGGCUACACCCAUGUUGGCCAAGUGAUGAAAGAUAAUAUUGCAUCCGUGCUCAUACAUCCAGUUGCUAUUUAAGAAUAAUCUCGGGCCUGCCAGAACCCGAAUCGCACUUCAUACCCAAAUAAAAGUGUGUAAAAAAUAAGAGGCCCAGUCAAGAAUAAAACUUUAUCAUCUGUUUUUCUUUGAAGAUUGCUACUGCUAUCAUGAAUAAUCGACUAUUGAAUUUGCAGAAUUUUUGUUUUAUUAUCUAGUUUUUAUAAGCUAUCCCUUAAAAAAAUAUAUAUUGUUGCAAGCAAACCCAAAAUAUUGUUGAAUUAAAGCCAAAAUUACUAAAAUUAAACUUAAAAUUUCAGUAGCCAACAAUUAACAAAGUAGAAGGUAAAAUUUUCCAUUUUACUAUAAACACAACAUCGGCCUAACACCCUGCCUUAGCCUCGGCCCAAAGACACAAUCUGGGGCCAGCGGUGCAAGUUGGGUUUAGGCCGAGGAUGUCGUCCAGGCCCAAGUCGCAUCAACCCAACACUUCGGUACAUUUUUAUGAUUUUAUCCCUUAAAUACGGUUUUUAAAACCUGUGACUCUACAGAUUAUCAAUUGGACAAUGUUGCCCCACAAGUUUUCCUAUUCUGAAUCUAAGCUUGUUAUAGUUUCGUGUGGAAUUCAGCAAACCUCCGGAAUCGAAAUCACCUGCACUCAUCAAGUAUCAUGCGAAGCGAACAAUUUUCAUUUUCAAUCCAAACAAUAUCUUAGAUAAAUUGUAAAAUAUAAUCAUAAUUGGGGAAAAAAAAAAAAGAGUCAGAAAUCUCGUGUGGAUAGUGCCGCUCAUAGCACCAUUAAACGCAAUGGUGCUGCGUUCGCACGAUGAUAUCAUCACUCUCUUUCUCUAAAAGUGAAAUGAAGAAAAACAAAGAAGUUAAGCCACACAAAAAAUUUCGUACCCCUUGAGCUCCAUGAGAAAAUCUCUUCAGCCAAGCAAAACUAUCAUAGGAGGGCCCUUUUAUAGGGCGCUUAUCUGGUUGCCCUAAUUUACACAGCCCGAUCGUCUCGAUAGGGUCAGCGAAUGAAUGAAACGACGCCGUUAAAUAAACGGGUAACUUAAAAUAUCCUGUGUUCGCGUUUUCUUUGGGCGUGCAAACCCAAAUUGAAGCCCAAGACAUAUUUAUACUCAAUUGCUAAAAAGUCCCCGUUUCAGAAAUUAAUAUUGCAAAAGAGCCUCCAAAGUCCAACCUGGUCAAACCCAUUAACCCAGCCUGCCAACAAGUCCCAAUGUGUAAAAUAAAUUUAAUAUCCGGGUAAUCGUGUCAAUUUGGUAAAGGUAGUGGGUAGAAAAGUGCAAAUUUAAUUGUUAUUUAAACGAAUACCAAGUAGGGUUUAGCCUUCCAGCUCUAGAGCACAACGAGUCAGUCGCCGCAGCAGCUCAGGUUCCCUCUCUGCCCUCUCAAUCUAUCUUCUGCAAAUGUUUGGUUACUGAGAAUGUGAAGGAAAAGAAAAAAAAAUGAUUUUCUCGGUAACCAAAUAUCGAUUAAAAACUAUUACAAGAUAUGAUUACGUGUAUGUACAUUUGUAGUUUUCAUAUAUAUUGUUCUCAAACAACUAUGAAACUGUUAGCUUUUAAUAUUGUUCGCUGGAGUUAGCGAUCAGCGUUUGCCUGAUCUGUGGUUCUGUGUUUCGUAUGGCCAUUCAUAAUGUUUAGGCCAUUGUUAUUGCGUGAGUUGAGAUCAUUUUAUUUGGAUAAGAGAUAUUAGGAAAUUAAUAUUUUUGUUAUUGUUAUAUUUGCAGAGGAGGAGAAUGUCUCACAGGAAGUUUGAGCACCCAAGGCAUGGUUCCCUUGGAUUUCUUCCAAGGAAGCGAGCUGCUCGUCACAGAGGAAAGGGUAUGAUGUUGUUUUGUUAUGGCAUUAAGAGCUGACAAUCUUAUUCAUAGAGUUAGUUUUAUUGGAUAUGGUAAUUUGUUUGUCUUGAGUAGUUUUGUUUGCUUCGGUGCUUUUGCAGUGAAGGCUUUUCCCAAGGAUGACCCAAGCAAGCCUUGCAGGCUCACUGCCUUUUUGGGUUACAAGGCUGGGAUGACCCACAUUGUUAGGGAUGUCGAGAAACCUGGAUCUAGUAAGCUUUUGUGAAGCUUUGAUUGAGUUAUUCAUAAUUCCUAGUGACUACAAUUUGGAUGACUAUUUUGUGUUUUUAACAUUCAUUUGGAGAAAAGAGGUUUUGAAAAUUUGACAUUCCUGUACUAUUAAGAUAUAAUAUCACUAAAUGUGAUGUGCAAUGUCAUUCUUCUGGCUUAGCAAACAGAAUAGUAGCAUAUUAUUUGCAAAUUUAAUGAUUUGUGUCUGUUUGAUUGUUGUUUUUUACUAUUAAUUCAUGGUUCUAUCCUGGAUAACAAACUCUUCAGUAUUUCUUUGCAAAUAUUUUGGUUUCAAAAAAUUAAUUCGUUGAUGUAAUUUUUUUUUCCUUUUCGGUAGUGUUAUAUUUAGAUUGUGCAAUGUUUUGUAUCCAAUUCGACUGCAAUUUUGGAGUUCUUAUAGGACUUUAUUAUCCAUGAUCUUGUAAUAUUAGGUGAAGAAUGUUUUUUUUUUGUUGAAAAUUCUUAUCUUAACAAUAUUUGCUUCUUUUCACCUUUAGAGCUUCACAAGAAGGAGACCUGUGAGGCUGUUACCAUUAUUGAAACCCCUCCAAUGAUGGUGGUUGGAGUUGUGGGAUAUGUGAAGACACCUCGUGGUCUUCGCUCUUUGAACACUGUAUGGGCUCAGCAUCUUAGUGAGGAGGUGAGAAGAAGGUUCUACAAGAACUGGUGCAAAUCCAAGAAGAAGGCUUUCACAAAAUACUCAAAGCAGUAUGAAACAGAUGAAGGGAAGAAAAGUAUCCAAGCUCAGCUGGAGAAGAUCAAGAAGUAUGCAUCUGUUGUUCGUGUUCUUGCUCACACUCAGGUAACAAACUUUGUCACUUAAUUUCAUGCUGUAUCUUGGAGUCGGCAACUUUAUUUUGUUCUAUCUUUCACUUAUUUGGCCUGUUACUAAUAUUUUAUCAAACACAAUGACCUAGACUCAUAGCUCAAUGCUUUUGGUUAAUCUGUGGCAGAUUAGGAAAAUGAAGGGUUUGAAGCAGAAGAAGGCACACCUGAUGGAAAUCCAGGUCAAUGGUGGCACCAUUGCUGAAAAAGUUGACUAUGCAUAUG
rnacentral:lncRNA from 1 species